rnacentral:rRNA from 1 species
UACGGAGGGUGCGAGCGUUAAUCGGAAUUACUGGGCGUAAAGGGUGCGUAGGUGGUUAGAUAAGUUAGCUGUGAAAUCCCCGGGCUCAACCUGGGCAGGUCAGCUAAGACUGUUUGACUCGAGUAUGGGAGAGGGUAGUGGAAUUUCCGGUGUAGCGGUGAAAUGCGUAGAGAUCGGAAGGAACACCAGUGGCGAAGGCGGCUACCUGGCCUAAUACUGACACUGAGGCACGAAAGCGUGGGGAGCAAACAGG